rnacentral:rRNA from 1 species
UGUGAGCUCGAUGAGUAGGGCGGGACACGUGGUAUCCUGUCUGAAUAUGGGGGGACCAUCCUCCAAGGCUAAAUACUCCUGACUGACCGAUAGUGAACCAGUACCGUGAGGGAAAGGCGAAAAGAACCCCGGCGAGGGGAGUGAAAAAGAACCUGAAACCGUGUACGUACAAGCAGUGGGAGCACGCUUAGGCGUGUGACUGCGUACCUUUUGUAUAAUGGGUCAGCGACUUAUAUUCUGUAGCAAGGUUAACCGAAUAGGGGAGCCGAAGGGAAACCGAGUCUUAACUGGGCGUUAAGUUGCAGGGUAUAGACCCGAAACCCGGUGAUCUAGCCAUGGGCAGGUUGAAGGUUGGGUAACACUAACUGGAGGACCGAACCGACUAAUGUUGAAAAAUUAGCGGAUGACUUGUGGCUGGGGGUGAAAGGCCAAUCAAACCGGGAGAUAGCUGGUUCUCCCCGAAAGCUAUUUAGGUAGCGCCUCGUGAAUUCAUCUCCGGGGGUAGAGCACUGUUUCGGCAAGGGGGUCAUCCCGACUUACCAACCCGAUGCAAACUGCGAAUACCGGAGAAUGUUAUCACGGGAGACACACGGCGGGUGCUAACGUCCGUCGUGAAGAGGGAAACAACCCAGACCGCCAGCUAAGGUCCCAAAGUCAUGGUUAAGUGGGAAACGAUGUGGGAAGGCCCAGACAGCCAGGAUGUUGGCUUAGAAGCAGCCAUCAUUUAAAGAAAGCGUAAUAGCUCACUGGUCGAGUCGGCCUGCGCGGAAGAUGUAACGGGGCUAAACCAUGCACCGAAGCUGCGGCAGCGACGCUUAUGCGUUGUUGGGUAGGGGAGCGUUCUGUAAGCCUGYGAAGGUGURCUGUGAGGYAUGCUGGAGGUAUCAGAAGUGCGAAUGCUGACAUAAGUAACGAUAAAGCGGGUGAAAAGCCCGCUCGCCGGAAGACCAAGGGUUCCUGUCCAACGUUAAUCGGGGCAGGGUGAGUCGACCCCUAAGGCGAGGCCGAAAGGCGUAGUCGAUGGGAAACAGGUUAAUAUUCCUGUACUUGGUGUUACUGCGAAGGGGGGACGGAGAAGGCUAUGUUGGCCGGGCGACGGUUGUCCCGGUUUAAGCGUGUAGGCUGGUUUUCCAGGCAAAUCCGGAAAAYYAAGGCUGAGGCGUGAUGACGAGGCACUACGGUGCUGAAGCAACAAAUGCCCUGCUUCCAGGAAAAGCCUCUAAGCAUCAGGUAACAUCAAAUCGUACCCCAAACCGACACAGGUGGUCAGGUAGAGAAUACCAAGGCGCUUGAGAGAACUCGGGUGAAGGAACUAGGCAAAAUGGUGCCGUAACUUCGGGAGAAGGCACGCUGAUAUGUAGGUGAAGUCCCUCGCGGAUGGAGCUGAAAUCAGUCGAAGAUACCAGCUGGCUGCAACUGUUUAUUAAAAACACAGCACUGUGCAAACACGAAAGUGGACGUAUACGGUGUGACGCCUGCCCGGUGCCGGAAGGUUAAUUGAUGGGGUYAGCGCAAGCGAAGCUCUUGAUCGAAGCCCCGGUAAACGGCGGCCGUAACUAUAACGGUCCUAAGGUAGCGAAAUUCCUUGUCGGGUAAGUUCCGACCUGCACGAAUGGCGUAAUGAUGGCCAGGCUGUCUCCACCCGAGACUCAGUGAAAUUGAACUCGCUGUGAAGAUGCAGUGUACCCGCGGCAAGACGGAAAGACCCCGUGAACCUUUACUAUAGCUUGACACUGAACAUUGAGCCUUGAUGUGUAGGAUAGGUGGGAGGCUUKGAAGUGUGGACGCCAGUCUGCAUGGAGCCGACCUUGAAAUACCACCCUUUAAUGUUUGAUGUUCUAACGUUGACCCGURAUCCGGGUUGCGGACAGUGUCUGGUGGGUAGUUUGACUGGGGCGGUCUCCUCCUAAAGAGUAACGGAGGAGCACGAAGGUUGGCUAAUCCUGGUCGGACAUCAGGAGGUUAGUGCAAUGGCAUAAGCCAGCUUGACUGCGAGCGUGACGGCGCGAGCAGGUGCGAAAGCAGGUCAUAGUGAUCCGGUGGUUCUGAAUGGAAGGGCCAUCGCUCAACGGAUAAAAGGUACUCCGGGGAUAACAGGCUGAUACCGCCCAAGAGUUCAUAUCGACGGCGGUGUUUGGCACCUCGAUGUCGGCUCAUCACAUCCUGGGGCUGAAGUAGGUCCCAAGGGUAUGGCUGUUCGCCAUUUAAAGUGGUACGCGAGCUGGGUUUAGAACGUCGUGAGACAGUUCGGUCCCUAUCUGCCGUGGGCGCUGGAGAACUGAGGGGGGCUGCUCCUAGUACGAGAGGACCGGAGUGGACGCAUCACUGGUGUUCGGGUUGUCAUGCCAAUGGCACUGCCCGGUAGCUAAAUGCGGAAGAGAUAAGUGCUGAAAGCAUCUAAGCACGAAACUUGCCCCGAGAUGAGUUCUCCCUGACUCCUUGAGAGUCCUGAAGGAACGUUGAAGACGACGACGUUGAUAGGCCGGGUGUGUAAGCGCAGCGAUGCGUUGAGCUAACCGGUACUAAUGAACCGUGAGGCUUAACCUUACAACGCCGAAGVUGUU